rnacentral:misc_RNA from 1 species
UGGCUCUGGCAUNGAUGAAGAACGCAGCGAAAUGCGAUAAGUAGUGUGAAUUGCAGAAUUCAGUGAAUCAUCGAAUCUUUGAACGCACAUUGCGCCCCUUGGUAUUCCAUGGGGCAUGCCUGUUCGAGCGUCAUCUACACCCUCAAGCUCUGCUUGGUGUUGGGCACCUGUCACGCCUCGUGCGUCGACUUGCCCCGAAUUCAUUGGCAGUGGUCUUUGCCUCCUCGUGCGCAGCGCAAAGCGCGAUUCGAGUGUAGGCAACAGCCGCAUCCACCAAGAUUUACCCGUCUUUGACCUCGGAUCAGGUAGGGAUACCCGCUGA